UCUCCCCCAGAGGGAGAUGGGGUACAGGAGCAGAUGGAGAGCUACGACUCAGGCCCGCGCGCAGGUCCACGGCAGGUCCUCCAAGAGGGCAGAGAUCGGCCCUAAUCGGACCCAUAAGGCUUUAAAGCCUCUACGGGCGUCUGCCCCGGGGGAGGGGCUCUGCUCCUAGUCGGCUAGCUUCCCGGGCCGACUCGGGGUCCGAUACCCUCACCCAGGCCGCUCCUGCCUCCCAACCUGAGCCAGAAGCCCCGAGCCCCCCGAAGGAACGCCGGGAUCCCGCCCCGCUGCGGACCCCUGAAUGCCGUCCCACGGACUUCCUCCUCCAAGGUUCCUGGGUUCCUCUGACUGCAAGUUGGGAAGAAAGAUAAUAGCGUAAAGGAAAAAAUGUUGCGUGCCAUUCCAGCUCUACAGGGAUCAAGCCAUUAGCCACUGCAAUGACCACCAACAGUGUGCCCCGAGGGGAAUUCAGGAUGGAGGAAAACAGGAAACUGUGUACUUCAGAUAUACUGAUCCUUAGAUAG